CCUACGGGAGGCAGCAGUGAGGAAUAUUGGUCAAUGGCCGGAAGGCUGAACCAGCCAUGCCGCGUGAAGGUCAGUGCCCUAUGGGCGUUAAACUUCUUUUGUGCGGGAGCAAUAAUGGUCACGUGUGGCUCGACGAGAGUACCGUACGAAUAAGCAUCCGCUAACCACGUGCCAGCAGCCGCGGUUAUACGGGGGAUGCAAGCGUUAUCCGGAUUUAUUGGGUUUAAAGGGUGCGUAGGCUGGAAGGUAAGUCAGGGGUGAAAUGCCCCCGGUCAACGGGGUGAAGUGCCAUUGAUACUGCCGUGCUGGAAUGCAGAUGCGGUGGGAGGAAUGUGUGGUGUAGCGGUGAAAUGCAUAGAUAUCACACAGAACACCGAUUGCGAAGGCAUCUCACGAAUCCGCGAUUGACGCUGAUGCACGAAAGCGUGGGUAGCAAACAGGAUUAGAUACCCCUGUAGUC
rnacentral:rRNA from 1 species